rnacentral:lncRNA from 1 species
GCUGAGACCACAGGCGCCCGCCACCACGGCCGGCUAAUUUUUUGUAUUUUUAGUAGAGACGAGGUUUCACCGUGUUAAUCCAGGAUGGUCUCGAUCUCCCGACCUUAUGAUCCACCCGCCUCGGCCUCCCAAAGUGCUGGGAUUACAGGCGUAAGCCACCGCGCCCGGCAGGUCAUGCUUUUGACCACUGCUCUACGGCCUCUCCAGAGGUUACCAGGUGUAAACCCCAGAGUUGGAAGCACAAUUUGAGAAUGCAGUGCUCUCUUCCGGAUUCCAGUGGCCAUGCUCCUGACUCCUCGAUUUUUAUCUCUUGCACCUUUUUUCACCUUCCUGCCCUUGACAACUGUUCAGUUCUUCUUUUCAAGCUUGCUGAACUGCAUUCUACUUAAUUUGGACCUAAUUCAGCUUUGUUCAUUUUUGUUUGAGUUUUCAACAAGAUAUUGACUAGGUCUAUUAGCCUGGUGUUUUCUCAAAACAAUGUAUGUGCAUUUUAAAGUUUUUAGUAUCCAGACCAUUACUGAAGUGCUACAAAAUUAAGACACCAUUAGCAACCACCCACUAACCCCACAAUAGCUCUUGGAGAACUACCAUUUGGUGUGUUUUUUGCCCUUGCUCUUUAUAGUCUUGUUUUGAAAAUUAUGGUACAAUACACAUAACACAAAAUUUACCAUUAGUGACACUUAGUACAUUGGCAGUGUUGUGCAACCAUCACCACUAUCUAGUUUGGGGUUUUCAUCACCUCUAAAGGAAACCCUGUACCCAUUAGUCAGUCUCUCCAUUCUCUCCUCCCCGCUGCCUUUGGCAACCACCAUCUGCAUUCUGUCUCUAUGGAUUUGCCUAUUUUGAAUAUUGCAUAUACACGGAAUCAUGUAAUAUGUGGCCUAACAUGUCUAGCUUCUUUCACUUAGCAUGUUUUCAAGAUUUAUCCCUGUUGUAGCAUGUAUCAGUACUUCAUUCCUUUUAUGGCUGAAUAAUAUCCCAUUAUAUGGAUAGACCACAUUUGUUUAUCCUUUCAUCAGUAAAUGAACAUUUGGGCUG